rnacentral:lncRNA from 1 species
AAUUGCAAAAAUCCAAACAUUUAUCUAUCCAUCCAUGAGGUAGAUCGGCCGCUACUCCCCCGAUACGAAAAUAAUUAUGCAUCAUUCUCAUACCGGUGGCAGCUUCGAAUAAAUCAUAUACUAACUCUCUUUCUCUAAAAUUAUAAAAGAAAGGAGUCUGUGCACCAAUAUCCGCCAUAAACGGACCAAGCCAUAACAAAUGAGAAGCUAUACGACUCAAUUCCAACAUAAUUACUCUGAUAUAGCUAGCUCUUUUAGGCACUUGAAUAUUUCCUAACAAUUUUGGACCAUUUACUGUUAUUGCUUCUGUGAACAUAGUAGCCAAAUAAUCCCAGCAUGUUACAUAGGGCAAAUAUUGUAUAAUUGUUCGAUUUUCCGCAAUUUUUUCCAUCCCUCUGUGUAAAUAACCUAAAAUUGGUUCGCAGUCAAUAACAUCUUCACCGUCUAGAGUAACGAUGAGUCGAAGAACACCAUGCAUUGAUGGGUGGUGGGGACCCAUAUUGACUAUCAUAAGGUCUUUUCGCGUAGCUGAUACAUUCAUAGGGGUUUCCUCGAUCCAUUUUUUCAUGAAUUACUGAAAGAAAAAAGAAGUUCAUAUUAAGAUUUAAGAAAUCAAAUAAUUCAAAAAAACUCUUCACAUUAACGAGUUUUUGACUCCCGAAUAUCCAACCGGCUAAUUACUUCUUUAUAACGUACUCUAUUUUUCUUUGCUAAAUAAGACAGCAGUCGUUGCCGUUUUCCUAGAAUUUUUUGCAAACCUCUCUGAGAUAAAUAGUCUUUUUUAUGCAAUUCCAAAUGUGAAGUAAGUCUUCGUAUCUUAUUAGUGAAACUUACUAUUUGAAAUUCAAUAGAUCCUUUGUUUUCGUCUUUUUCUUCUUGUGAAAUAACUGAAAUGAAUGAAUUUUUUACCAUAAAAUAACCUACCUUUUUUUAAUUAAGAUUAAGAUGUUUUUAUUUUUAUUGAUCAGUAAUAAUAAAAAAAAUCAAUAUUGUAUUAAUAAAUAAUUAUAAAUAAUAAUGUUAGUUCAUUUGAAUUUGAUAUACACAAAAAUCUUUACUUUGUUAGUAAUUGAAGUUACUAAUUCAAAAUUUUGUCAAAUAAAAUGGCAAAUUUCUCAUUAAUCAAUCCAAUUUUUUAUUUUUUUAUAAUUUUUUUAUUCGGUUAUAGAUACAAAAAGAUGAUAUAUUUCUUCGCUUACAAAAGAGAACAAAAUUCUACCUAAAAUGAAAAGUCAAAAAAUGUCGUUGAUUCAUUUCUAGAUCAAGUAUCCUAUGGGAUAUAGGAAAAAUGCACCCUUACCAUUAUAAAAUUUCAACCGCGGAUAGAUACAUAUCCUUACCAUACCGAACCGGCUGGAAUUAUUAGUGUCGAACCAAUAACGAUUCAUACAAGCUAAAUCUUCUAAUCGAAAAUGGGGCCAAAGAAAAAAUUUGAAUUUAAUUAGUUUAUUUUUCUCUUUAUCAAAAUCUUUGCUUUUAUAAAAAACGGGACCACAGUUUUUUUUGUUAUUACUAGUGCAAAUUUUGGUAUUUAUAGAAAUAUUGUUUUUAUUUUUUAAAUUGAAAGAAAUUAGAAUUCUUAAUUCUCUAUGACGUUUCGGAGAUAAAACAUUUUUGGGAACAAGUAAAUCAUAACCAUUUUUGUCUCUAUUUCCAAUUAUACCUCGCUGCCUUUCAAUAGAAAUAGAAUCGAUUUUAUCUCUGUAUUGUUGAUUUAUUUGUUGUUUGUUCUUAUGAAAUAAUAAGAUACUUAUGGUUUGAUACAAAAGAAAUUGUCCAUCUUAACCAUUCCAUCUUAAAUGAAAAUAUAAAUAUCGUUUUAGAAAGAAAUCAAGUUCUACUUCUGUAUGACUUAUUUUUCUUUUUAUGUCUAUGUUUUUUCAUAUCUAAUUCCAUAUAAUCUUUUUCAAUAUCUUUUUUUUUAUUGGAUGAAUUGAUUUCUUGAUCUUGGUGAAUUGUAAUAAAAAAAUUCUUUUUUUAUCAAUUUUCUCAAUUAUUUGAUACUUAGUACUUAGUAUUUUUUUUUAUGUUCGCUUCCGGUAUCGAUCCAGGAUUCAAUCUCGACCUUCUCUCUAAGACAAAAAUUGAGAAUUUUCCAAUCAAAAUAAUUUCUAUCUGGGCUUUUCGCCAUAUCGAUAAUAUCAUCUUCCGCUAGAUAAUUAUUGAUAGGAAUACCUUCUAACAUGUCGAAAAAGUUACUUUUAUUUGUGUUGUAAUUAUAAGAAAUCUUUUGUUUAUUAUUUAUUUAUAAUGGUGAUCCAUAAAUAUAUGAGUCCUUCUUAUUUUCAUAAUUAAUAGAUUUAUAUGAUAAAAGAUUAUAUUUAUAGUGUUUUUUAAAAUUAUCUUUUUGAUUCGGUAAUGAGUCUGCCUCAAAAUCCUUUUUUUUUCGUAAUGAAUUAAUUUGUCUUUUUCAUAUAAAUUUCAUUUGUUUAAUUUUUUGUUUUGAACCAUAGGGUGUUGGUAUUGAUUGAUUCUAUUUCGCCAUUUUUGUGAUAUUAAUCUAGACCAUCUAAUCUAAGAUAAAUCGUAUUUAUGUUGAUAAUGACUCCUUAACCAGUUUUUCCAUUGAUUCAUUACGGAAUUUCUAACAUUUUUUUCUUUUAAUUCGAAAUUAAAUAGCCCUUGGACUCUAAAAUAAUCCUUUAUUUCAUUCUUUAAAAAAAGUCCAUGAUAUUGAAGGAUAGAUCUUAACUUAUAUAAGUUAAUAAUUUUGAUUUGUGAUAAUUUGUAAAAUACAUAUGCUUGUGACAAGGAGGAUAUGUCGCAAAGAAUCUGUGAAUUCUUAUUAAUAACAUCAAUAUUGCUAUUAUUAAGUGACUUUUUGAUAUUUAUAAUCGAAAUAAAGUGAAUUAUGUUUUGAUUUGUUUUAUCAAUUCUUUUUUAUUUUCUUCAUUAUUGUAAAUGUAUUUAGUAACAAUUUUUUUUUGUUGAUUCAAGAAAAAGCUGUGCAUUGAUCCUCGAAAUAUUAAUGAUACCUAAAAAGAUAUCUAUGUAUAUUGAUAAGCAUAGUUUUACACAUAUUUGCUUGCAUAUUAUUGCGUAUGUUCUUAGCAAUUAUUGUGCUUUUAUUCCCAGAUCACCCGUGUUUUGUGUUCUUUUGCAUUUUAGGAACAUUUAUAGGACCAUCAUCGUUGUUUAAGUAAUUAUAGAUCAAUACGUGCGGAAACGAACGAGAAUUCAUCAAGAUCGGACAAGAGCCCGCAAUGCAUACAUUGAGCACGGCCUGGACUCUGGCCGUGCUCAACCAUUGGCUUUGAUUCUUGAAAUUAGCACUUUGGGCACGGUUUCCGUAGCCACCACGGCCUUCAGCACGGCCCGUGGUGGAUAACACGGGGAGCAACACGGCCCGUGGUGGCCAACACGGGGAGAAACACGGCCGUGGUGAAACCCUACUUGGUGAGAUCCACAGUUUCAGCACGGCCUGGACUUCGGCCGUGCUGACCAGCACGGCCUUGAACACGGCCGUGCUGAGUUAAAUAUAUAAGAAAAAAAUGAGUUUUUCUUAAGAAAAAGGGGGAAGGAGAAAGAGUGACAUUGAGCCCUAGUGGCUGGUUCGGUUUCUGCACAAUACUGAGUGCGAGAGAGAGUUGCAGUGAGUAAGAAUCCCGGAAUCAUAAGAUUCCGAGUGCAAAACAGUAGUGGAGCAAUUCAAGAGGCAGUUUAGGAGAUUAAUCAAAGUGCAGAUCCAGAUUUGGAGCUGUUCAUCCAAUUCGAGAGAAAAGGGUGUACAUGUUUUAUUUUCAUUAUUCUUUCAUUGUAAUUGAUUUCCUAGAUUGUUUUAAACAUGAACAUGUUUAGCUAGACUGAUUUAAUCCAUUGGGAUUUCUUUACUAUGUUGGCUUGAUAUUAUAUUGUUGGAUUGUUUGAGUUGGUUUUGUAUUCUUCUUGUUUUCAGUAUGAAUAAGAUUAUGCAUUAUUCAUGAGACGUUGUGAAUUGUGAUGUUUAGAUUGCUUUAUGAGAUUGAGAAAUCCGUUUGGCAAUUGGAACUUUGAAUAACAAGAACUGGUUAAUAAUCGCUUAGAGAUAAGGAUAAUUAACUAGCCGGAUUAAGAAUUAACAAAGCUUAAUAGAGGCGGAUUAAAGCUUAAUGCUAAUUUAAGAAUCAAUUGUUAGGAAGAGAUUCCAACUUUAGGUUAUUAGGUUUAGGAAUUCGGUUAUCUCGAGAAGAGAAACCGAAUUCGGUUAAGAAUUCGUCCACGGGUAGCAUAAUUAGACUCACUGAUCCUUUAUCUUUUGUUCGGAUGCCAACUAGUUUAGAUUCCCUUUGGGUUUGUCUUCUUGUCUUGAUUAUUUCAGUUAUCAAUUACUCCUGCAUCUCCCUUAGAACUUAGCUCGUAGUUAAUAGUUAGUUUAGAAUUUAUUCAUCAUCCAUUUUAGGUUAAUAUAACAAAGAACAAAGAAGUAACUCUGGGCUUUCGCUUUUCCGAGGAAUACGACCUUGAUACUCGCCAUUAGUGCUAGACUGCAUCGAUAGGUACACUGCCUUAGAUUGUAGCUAACACGAGUAGCAACCAUCAUAUAUCCUUUCAAUCAAAAUUUUUAUAAAAAAAUGAAAUUUAUACGCUAAUUGCGCAUUUCUUUUUUUUAAUAUUUGUGAAAUAUUUUUUGAUGAUUUUAAUUUUAAAGUUUUAACAUUAUAACUUAUUUUGUUAGGACUAAUAUUUAUCUCCGAGGUUAUAAUUUGUUUUCCUUUUCUUUUGAAAUUUUUUCUAUUUGAUUUAAGAUUAUCUUUCGUCUAGCAGAAAGAUCUUUCAUUUUUUUUCUGUCAGUGAAAAAUUUAUCCAAACCAUAGAUCGCGUUGAGGUGGACAUUUUCUGACUCGCCCGAUUAUUCUUAUUGAUUAGCGAAUCUUUUUCUUUUUAGUUGCAUUCAAUUCAUAUACUUCUUUAACUCCAGAUAAUAAAAUUCAGUUUCUUUUUGAUUUUUCAAAUUUGUUUAUUUUGUUUAUUAUAUCUUUUCGAAAAAAAGAGUUUUGGAUGACCCAAUUUGCUUUUUCUUUUGAUAAAUUUAGAAAUAAUUUUCUUCUUUCUUCUAAAGUUCUUCUAAUUCGAAAACUCUUUUUUUUUUUCAUUUUUCUAAUUUUUUUUUCAAGUUUUUUAAAGAUGGGUUCAAAAAGUGAAACUUCGGGGAAAACCAAAAGGCAGUUCAACCUCCAUCCCCAAAACUGUUAAAAAACAAAAAUCAUUUCUUUGUACUUUCUUUUUCAUUGGAUCUUUAUGAGGGAAUUUUAACUUAGAUCUGUGCUAAGGUUUUAGACGAAAAGGAAAUAGGAUCUUUAUUUGAAUCCCGUCUGUUAACCAGUUUUUCAGAAAUUCUUUUUUUGAUAAUUGAACUCCAUUAUAAGUGCAUUUAAUAUGCAUUUCUCUACUCCAAUCCUUUAAAUCCUCCGACCAUUCGGGAAUUUGAAAAAAUAGUAUACGAAUGCAAUUUUUAGCUAUUAUUAAUAAAGGUAAUAUAAUAUAUUUUAUUAUUUGAGCAAAAAGAAUGCUAUCCCAGGCUUCAGCUAUUUCUAUCCGAGUUCUUUCCUCUCUUUUGUUGUCUUCUCUUGUGUCUUCGUCUUUUUUCUUACUUUCUUUUAUUUUUUUCUCUGUAUAAGUAUAAUCUGAAAUUGUGAAUUCUGCAUUUUUACACAUCCAAUUUAUAAACAUUGUUUUUAUCAGUUCGAAAAUAUAAAAAAAAAAAAAGAGAUUUGUCUAUUCUGUCCAAAAAAAGGGGCGAAUGCGCAUUUGCUUAAAACAGUUCAAAAAUAGCUAUUUUGCGUCUUUGUGCUCGCGUGGAUCCUUUUAUUAUGUCUCGACAAAAGUCUGAUUGUUGCGAAUAACGGAUCAAAGUAACUUCAUUUAUUUGGUCAAAAUCUGUCGUAUCUUUGGUAUUAUUAUAAGUAGCUGUAUUUUCUUGAUUAUCGGUAAAAAUUACUACACGUUUGGCUUUUCGUGAACGAAUUUCAUAAUCUUCCACUAUGUUUUCUUCAUUUUCUCCCUCUUAUUGUUCCAAAUCGUCAAUUAAUUUGUAUGACCAAUGAGGAACUUGUUUAUUUAUUUCUUUUAUUCCAAGAGAAUUAUUUUUAAUUGUUUUAUUUUUUGAAUUUGCUAGAACUGGAUCAAAUACAAAUUUUAGAAUUUGUAAGAGUUCUAAAUCCAUUUUUUCUUCUUUGUAAUCUGGAAAUAAAGGGAGUCCUUUAAAAUUGAAACUUGAUGUCAAUUUUCCGGCAAAUUCAUUAAUUAAGUUUAAGAAAUAAGCAAUUUCUGUUGAAAAUGAUUUUCUAUCUGUUUUUGGUUCAAAUUCUAUAUAAUUACUAAUAUUUGAAAUGGUACAGAAAAAGAUUUUUUGUUCACAACAACAACAAAGAAACUCUCCUCUGAUGAAUUGUAUAAUCAUUGGAAUUAUAAGAAUGAACAAAAAAAUAAAAAUCUAAGUAAUGAAUUUAUAAACAGAGUCCAGGCUCUAGAUAAGGGAUAUCUUGUUCUGAAUACACUCGAAAAAAGGACUAGAUUAUGUAAUGAUAAAACGAAAAAGAGAGUACUUACUAAAAAUAUAUGAUCCCUUAUUGAGAAAGAACCAAAUUUUUUUUUUCACCCUCAACAAUAAAUAUAAAUAAAACUUCUAUAAAAAAUUCCACGGAGAUGGUUUGGAUAAAUAAAAUUCAUCUUGCUGGGUGGAUACGUGAAAGAUAUUCUUUCUUUUCCAUCACUUCGACAUGUAUAAAAAAAAUAUUGUGACAUUUCAUUUCUUACAGCAUUCUUAAACUGAUCAUUUUUUAUAUAUCGUAAGGGACGAUUCCAACGUUUCGAGUCAAAAAGAAUAGUUACAAGAGGUUUUUCAAACCAGAAAAGAUUUUUCUUUUUUUUUUUUCUAUCCAUAUUUCUAACUUCGAAUUUUCUUGAUUCCCAUCCAGAUAAAAAGUUUCAUAAAGUGGUCUAUUUUUAUAGCAUGUCUCGUUAAAGUGAAAAUGGAAUUCAUCUUUUGUCUUUUCCUUUCCAUUCACUUGGAUCUCUUCCGUUUCGUCGAUUUUGUCUUGAUCCUCCUUUUCUUCCGAAAAAAGGGAAGAAGAAGGAUCUUCUUUGGUGGAUCCCUGUUUAAUCCCCUUCGUUUCAGAAGUUAUUUCUAUUUCUACAUCUGUUUCUUCCUCACUUUCCUCCCUUUCUUCCGUUUCUGAGGUUUCUUUCAGUUUCUUAGUAAAAAUGGGUGACGGUAUUCUGCCUAAAGAGUAGACGCAGGUAAUAAAUAAGAGAAUACUAAAGAUUCGAGCCAUAGAAUUUCUCAAUUUUGACACAAGGUACUUAUUAGAUCGAAAAAGUACAUUAGAUCUAAUAGAAUUAUUUUGUUGUAUCCAGACUAAUAUCAAUCCAACCCAUUUCAUGAAUAAAAUGUGACCAAUUAACCAACCAACAAAACUACUUGUUACAAAUAACAUCUUGUUGUUGCAUCGAAACAUAUAAAUGUUGACUAAACUGACUAACAUUGAUUGAACUUGGUAAAAUGAAAUGGUUGAAUAAUUA